CCAGCAGCCGCGGUAAUACGNAGGGUGCNAGCGUUANUCGGAAUCNCUGGGCGUAAAGGAUGCGUAGGCUGGAAAUCAAGUCGAGAGUGAAAUCCAACGGCUUANCCGUUGAACUGCUCUCGAAACUGGUUACCUAGNAUAUGGGAGAGGUAGAUGGAAUUGGUGGUGUAGGGGUAAAAUCCGUAGAUAUCACCAGGAAUACCGAUUGCGAAGGCGAUCUACUGGGACAUUAUUGACGCUGAGGCAUGAAAGCGUGGGGAGCAAACAGGAUUAGAUACCCUGGUAGUCCACGCCCUAAACGAUGCACACUAGUUGUUGCGAUGCUAGUCAUUGCAGUAAUGCACUUAACAGAUUAAGUGUGCCGCCUGGGGAGUACGGUCGCAAGAUUAAAACUCAAAGGAAUAGACGGGGACCCGCACAAGCGGUGGAGCAUGUGGUUUAAUUCGAAGAUACACGAAGAACCUUACCUGGCCUUGAUAUCCUAAGAAUCCUGUAGAGAUACGGGAGUGCUAGUUUACUAGAACUUAGAGACAGGUGCUGCACGGCUGUCGUCAGCUCGUGUCGUGAGAUGUUGGGUUAAGUCCCGCAACGAGCGCAACCCUCGUGAUUAGUUGCUAACAGUUCGGCUGAGCACUCUAAUCAGACUGCCUUCGUAAGGAGGAGGAAGGUGAGGACGACGUCAAGUCAUCAUGGCCCUUAUGGCCAGGGCUACACACGUGCUACAAUGGCUAGGACAAAGAGACGCGAUACUGCGAAGUGGAGCAAAUCUUAAAACCUAGUCUCAGUUCGGAUUGGAGUCUGCAACUCGACUCCAUGAAGCUGGAAUCGCUAGUAAUCGUAGAUCAGAUAUGCUACGGUGAAUACGUUCCCGGGUCUUGUACUCACCGCCCGUCACACCAUGGGAGUUGAAUUCACCCGAAGCCGGAAUACUAAACUAGUUACCGACCACGGUGGGUUCAGCGACUGGGGUG
rnacentral:rRNA from 1 species